rnacentral:misc_RNA from 1 species
UUUCCGUAGGUGAACCUGCGGAAGGAUCAUUAUUGAAUCUUACCUUAUCUCUUCGUAUGUGCUUGCUUUCCAGUGACGCAUGCUGAAGGAUAAACCCCAACCCCUUGUGCAUCCUGUCUUUUUUUGUCUUUCCCCGAUUCCGGUCGGGGUGAGAUCGAACCAAACAACUUUUUUAUCGACCUUCUAUUUUUUGAAUCACCAACCACAUAAGAAACAAAACUUUCAACAACGGAUCUCUUGGCUUGCCCAUCGAUGAAGAACGCAGC